UUCCUAGCACAGUCUACACAGUGGGAGUUAGGUCGGUAUCUCUGUCUUUCAGGGGUGCUGAAAGACUUAGAUAGGCCAUUGUAAAUUCCCAGUGCAGAGCAGUCCUCAGUCUGAUCUACCCUUUUAAACUGGUUUCAAUGAUCCCCCAAGAAGCAUGGGCUAGAGCCAUUAAGGUUACUUCCCCUGGCAUUGUCCCUUAACAAUUCUUAAUUUUAAACUAUUAGACAACUAUUAGAAAAGGCCUACUCCCUCUCUGAAAGUUUUACUUUCCAGUGUAGCUGCAGGAACUUCUGCAUCAUUAUUUCAAGUCUGCCUGUUAGUGUCCCUGCAUCAGCAAUGCAUCCUCUACUAAGGUCCAGAUGCUGUGGAAUUCUGAUGCAUCUGGGAUUCCCCACUGAGGUCUUAUUCCUAUCUACUCCCCAGUAAAGCAUCUGGAAGAUUAAGCAGGAAGAAGCCAGAUCUGUGUCAAGGUGGCGGCAGUAAGGAGGUAUUUUAAUGUUAGCUCCAGCAGCAACAGCUUGCCAGUGGGAUCCUCCAGGGAGAAGCUGAAGUCUAUGGAAAGUCUGGAUAAAGGCCUAAAAGAGAGGCAGGCCAAGAAGUAUGACCAGUUUCUGUAACGAAGUAACUCAGCACAUGUGGAAGGUCGGAGCUUAU